UACAGAGGGGGCAAGCGUUGUUCGGAAUUACUGGGCGUAAAGGGCGCGUAGGCGGCCUUCUAAGUCGAACGUGAAAUCCACGGGCUCAACCCGGGAACUGCGUCCGAUACUGGAAGGCUUGAAUCCGGGAGAGGGAUGCGGAAUUCCAGGUGUAGCGGUGAAAUGCGUAGAUAUCUGGAGGAACACCGGUGGCGAAGGCGGCAUCCUGGACCGGCAUUGACGCUGAGGCGCGAAAGCCAGGGGAGCAAACGGG
rnacentral:rRNA from 1 species